CGGUAAUUCCAGCUCCAAUAGCGUAUACUAAAGUUGUUGCAGUUAAAAAGCUCGUAGUUGGAUUUCUGCGGGGACGGAGCGGCCGGUCGCAACUUGCGACUCGAGCUAGCGCUUUCCCCGCAUCCUGCCGCGAACCGUGCUACCAUUAGUUUGGUGGCGCUGGGGAUCGGCUCGAUUACUUUGAGAAAAAUAGAGUGUUCAAAGCAGGCCACACGCCUUGAAUAAGUUAGCAUGGAAUAAUGACUAAGGACUUUGGUUCUUUUCGUUGGUGUUCGGGACUGAAGUAAUGAUUGAUAGGGACAGUUGGGGCGGUCCGUAUUCCAAAGCGAGAGGUGAAAUUCUUAGACCUUCGGAAGACGAACAGCUGCGAAAGCGUUCCGCAAGGAUGUUCCCUUUGAUCAAGAACGAAAGUUGGGGGAUCGAAGACGAUCAGAUACCGUCGUAGUCUCAACUAUAAACUAUACCAGCUAGGGAUCGGCCAACGUUUAAUUAUUCGACUUGGUCGGCACCUUAUGAGAAAUCAAAGCAUCUGGGUUCCGGGGGGAGUAUGGUCGCAAGGCUGAAACUUAAAGGAACUGACGGAAGGGCACCACCAGCCGUGGAGCCUGUGGCUUAAUUUGACUCAACACGGGAAAACUUACCAGGUCCGGACAUAGUAAGGAUUGACAGAUUGAUAGCUCUUUCUUGAUUCUGUGGGUGGUGGUGCAUGGCCGUUUUUAGUCGGUGGAUGUGAUCUGUCUGCUUAAUUGCGUUAACGGACGAGACCCCAGCCUGCUAAAUAGCGCGGCCGAGCUUUGCUCGGUGCGAGCUUCUUAGAGGGACCAUGAUGCGCGAUAGCACAAGGAAGUUUGGGGCAACAACAGGUCUGUGAUGCCCUUAGAUGUUCUGGGCCGCACACGGGCUACACUGGCGCCUGCAACGAGCAUAUCAGCUGGCCCGAGAGGGUCUUGGCUAAUCUUUGGAACCGGCGCCGUGCUUGGGAUUGACCAUUGCAAUUGUUGGUCAUGCAACGAGGAAUGCCUUGUAAACGCGAGUCAUCAGCUCGCAUUGAAUACGUCCCUGCCCCUUGUACACACCGCCC
rnacentral:rRNA from 1 species